CAGCGGGGAGCUUUACACAUGCAAGUCGAACGGCAGCACGAGAGAGCUUGCUCUCUUGGUGGCGAGUGGCGGACGGGUGAGUAAUAUAUCGGAACGUGCCCAGUAGCGGGGGAUAACUACUCGAAAGAGUGGCUAAUACCGCAUACGCCCUACGGGGGAAAGGGGGGGAUUCUUCGGAACCUCUCACUAUUGGAGCGGCCGAUAUCGGAUUAGCUAGUUGGUGGGGUAAAGGCUCACCAAGGCAACGAUCCGUAGCUGGUUUGAGAGGACGACCAGCCACACUGGGACUGAGACACGGCCCAGACUCCUACGGGAGGCAGCAGUGGGGAAUUUUGGACAAUGGGGGAAACCCUGAUCCAGCCAUCCCGCGUGUAUGAUGAAGGCCUUCGGGUUGUAAAGUACUUUUGGCAGAGAAGAAAAGGUAUCCCCUAAUACGGGAUACUGCUGACGGUAUCUGCAGAAUAAGCACCGGCUAACUACGUGCCAGCAGCCGCGGUAAUACGUAGGGUGCAAGCGUUAAUCGGAAUUACUGGGCGUAAAGCGUGUGUAGGCGGUUCGGAAAGAAAGAUGUGAAAUCCCAGGGCUCAACCUUGGAACUGCAUUUUUAACUGCCGAGCUAGAGUAUGUCAGAGGGGGGUAGAAUUCCACGUGUAGCAGUGAAAUGCGUAGAUAUGUGGAGGAAUACCGAUGGCGAAGGCAGCCCCC
rnacentral:rRNA from 1 species